rnacentral:rRNA from 1 species
AGGGUUUGAUUAUGGCUCAGAUUGAACGCUGGCGGCAUGCUUUACACAUGCAAGUCGAACGGCAGCACAGGGAGCUUGCUCCCGGGUGGCGAGUGGCGCACGGGUGAGUAAUACAUCGGAACGUGUCCUGUUGUGGGGGAUAACUGCUCGAAAGGGUGGCUAAUACCGCAUGAGACCUGAGGGUGAAAGCGGGGGAUCGCAAGACCUCGCGCAAUUGGAGCGGCCGAUGCCCGAUUAGCUAGUUGGUGAGGUAAAGGCUCACCAAGGCGACGAUCGGUAGCUGGUCUGAGAGGACGACCAGCCACACUGGGACUGAGACACGGCCCAG